UUAAAAGCAGUAUUGGAAUAUGUCAACUUUGGAAGUUGGCGAUUAGAAUUUUCUACUUUUAAAU
rnacentral:tRNA from 1 species